GACGAACGCUGGCGGCGUGCUUAACACAUGCAGGUCGAGCGAUGAAGCUCCUUCGGGAGUGGAUUAGCGGCGGACGGGUGAGUAACACGUGGGUAACCUGCCUCAUAGAGGGGAAUAGCCUUUCGAAAGGAAGAUUAAUACCGCAUAAGAUUGUAGCUUCGCAUGAAGCAGCAAUUAAAGGAGUAAUCCGCUAUGAGAUGGACCCGCGUCGCAUUAGCUAGUUGGUGAGGUUACGGCUCACCAAGGCGACGAUGCGUAGCCGACCUGAGAGGGUGAUCGGCCACAUUGGGACUGAGACACGGCCCAGACUCCUACGGGAGGCAGCAGUGGGGAAUAUUGCACAAUGGGGGAAACCCUGAUGCAGCAACGCCGCGUGAGUGAUGACGGUCUUCGGAUUGUAAAGCUCUGUCUUCAGGGACGAUAAUGACGGUACCUGAGGAGGAAGCCACGGCUAACUACGUGCCAGCCGCCGCAGUAA
rnacentral:rRNA from 1 species